GUCACUUGAAAUGCUUAUCAAACUGAGUAACUUUUUAAAAGGCACAAUUUAGUAUAAUUUAAUAGUUUUUUUUAUAAAACCUCUCUAUACACCACAUUUUUAGUUUUAUUUUCAAGCUGUAUAUGUUUCAUACAAAAUAUCAACCCCAAUUAAGCCCCCUUAGCGGUGGAAUAUCGUAAAAUCCGUUCUUAGCGGACGUCUGCUAACUAUAAUCUACCUCCCUACCAAAUUUUAUCUUUGUCCAACCUGGAUGGAUAGACCAUCCAGCGGUUUUGAGUUCUCAUUACGAUGCAUUAUUUGGACACUUCCUCACCAUCUAUAGAGCAUAUAUUUUAAAUUUCAAGUCUCUUACUUCAAAAACAUAAGACUUUCAUACAAACUUCUGACCCCCGUUUUAUCCCCUUAGGGGUCGAUUUUCGUAAAAUCAGUUCUUAGCGGAUGUCUACGCCCUAUAAGGAACCUACCUGCC
rnacentral:misc_RNA from 1 species